UCCCUGGAGGACUAGUGGUUAUCCCUCAGCGCUCUCACCGCCAUGGCCCGGGUUCGACUCCCAGCCAGGGAA